rnacentral:sRNA from 26 species
ACUCAACACUAACAAAUUAAAAUGAGCAAAUCAUCGUUACUAUAGCAAGCCAAUUUAGUUUGGAAGCUUGAACAACGAGUUAACUCAAAACUUGUCAAUCCGAGUUU